AAGCAGGCCCAUAGCAGAAGAGCCUGAUGUGGGGCUCGAUCCCAGAUCGCCGGGAUCACGCCCGGAGCCGAAGGCAGACGCUUAACCGCUGUGCCACCCAGGCGCCCCGAGUCUUUAAAUUAUUAUCAGUUGUUGCCUAAUAUUCCUGUAAGAUCAGCCAUCAUCAUUCACUCCACUGUUAAGGUCUUCCUAAUCAUUUCCUGCUUUUAGUGUUGGGGAACAAUGCUUCAUUGAAGGUCCUUUUAAAUGAACUGCCCCUGUGUCUUAGGUUUCCAGUAAUAGUAUUUUUUUUUUUAGUGUUCUGGAACCCUGGGAGCCACAGGUGAAAGCAAUGUGGUUAGGGAUGUGGUGGGCCCCACAGCCGUCAGUGGCUGAGUUGAGUCGGGAACCUGGAUUCCCAAAUGGGGCUUGAGUGUCCUCCCAGGCCCCUCUGCCCUGGCCUGAGGGAGUCUCUGCCCUCCAGGGGAUGGUGUUUGCUGUCUUUCCCAGGUCUCUGCAGGGUGGUGAGAUGUACCAGGAGGGGCCUGGCCACAGUCCUGCCACUCUCCCCCACAUCUGCCCAGGCCCUGGCCUCUGUCCUCUGACUGCCGGCGGUGACAUGCUGGACCCUUCUAUGGCUGCCCCUGAGUCGUGGCUGAUGUCCCUUGCACUGGCAUCCUCCAAGGAAGUUUCCUUCCAGACUGGGCAGCUGGUCCGUGGCCACGGGCUGGACCUCAUGAUGCACCCUGCAGAUGCCGCUGUGGCUGUGUCCAUCACUGCCCUCGGUGAGCCCAGCUCCACAGGAUUCGCUGACCCACCUGUUGGCAACCCCCCGAGCAUGUACCUGGAGGAAGGUCCAGGCACCAGCGGUGGCCAGGCAGCACAACAGGCGGGCUCAGCCUCCCGAAUUCCUCCUAACCCAGAGCCCCCUGGAGUUGGCACCGGGCCCCUCCUUCCCCAGCCCCGUUUCUGCUGUGGACCUGAGCCAGCCCUUGCCCUCCACCCAGGUGAAACCCUACCACCAGGUGCAGUGGCCCGAUGGCCCGGCCUCCAGCGAUGCCUUCUGGGGAGCCAGGAUGCUUCUUGAGCUGUCCGGGGGCAGCCUGGGUUGAGAUGUCCCUUUGGGGUAUCCAGCCAGUGCCCCUAGGGGAGCAGGUGUGGACAUCUAGCCUUUCAACACAUGUUACAUAGAGCUUUAUUCUGACUGAAGAGAGGAUCCCAGAGUUCCUUGGGGGGUUCCAGAGAGAAGCAUUGAGGCUACGUAGCCCCCUGCCGUGUAUGAAUAGUUUGGUUGGCAGCUCAGUUUAUCAGAGGAAGCAUUUGAGGAGCGCUCUUGAGCUCAGAAGCCCAAGGGGUCUGUUUCACUCAGGCAACAGGAGAUUGUGGAGUCAAGCUCCUGGGCAGGUUCUGGGCUGGGAAGGCCUUUCUGGAGAUAGCACUGCUGUCUACCCUCCCUGCCCUGUGACAAGGCCAGACUUCACCCAGUUAGGCUGAUGAGUGGAGCAUGGGCAGUGUUCUGACAUUUUGGUGUCUUGGGGGUAGGGGGCUUCUACAGAAGCUGGUGUGGGUGGCAUGGCUCAGGCAGGGUGGGACAGGGUGCAUUUUCCCCUAAGAUUGUAAUUCAUUGUGUUUGUAAAAGUUCUAUCCAAUUAAAUUACAGUUCAAUGUUCGGAACUUUCCACUUUUACUCACUUAACCACAUCUUGCACACUUGUCCCUGUCGGUCCUUUGCCUUUGUGUCUCUGGCUGGCCGUUGACGGUGUGAGUGUGACUGGUCGAUGCAUUGGCACCAUGUUGAUGGGAUUGUUUCUAAUGAGUCUGUUUUAUAUGCAGUAUUACAGUGGGCAUCUCUGCCCUUUGCCCUUUACUGACUGUGUUGUGGGAAAAGAGUAUUGCCCUGGUGCCAAGCUCACAGGGCCCCAGGGGCCGUGUGCAGUGUGACUUCUGAUGUGUAUGGCCCUCUCUGGCAGGGGUGACUUUGACGCUCAGGACGGUCGUGUCCAGGAGUAGGCCCCUGGUGCUUGCCUUUCCCACUGUGUCAGUUGGAAGUCGUGUGCUGAGUGGUGCGUGGGGUAGAGAGGAAUGAG
rnacentral:lncRNA from 1 species